rnacentral:rRNA from 1 species
GCUGAGGUCAAGCUGCCCUGAAAACGCCCCAUGUCCUCUGGCCUUGGAAGCUGAGCAGGGUUGGGCCUGAUUGGUACUUGGAUGGGAGAAAAGAACCCAGAUGUCUUUCAUUU